rnacentral:rRNA from 1 species
GCAAAGUUGUGUAGUGCGAUCGGUGGAUGCCUUGGCACCAAGAGCCGAUGAAGGACGUUGUGACCUGCGAUAAGCCCUGGGGAGUUGGUGAGCGAGCUGUGAUCCGGGGAUGUCCGAAUGGGGAAACCUGGAAUGUCCGGAGUAGUGUCCGGUGGCCCUGCCCUGAAUGUAUAGGGGUGUGGGUGGUAACGCGGGGAAGUGAAACAUCUUAGUACCCGUAGGAAGAGAAAACAAGUGUGAUUCCGUGAGUAGUGGCG